GACGAACGCUGGCGGCGUGCUUAACACAUGCAAGUCGAACGGAAAGGCCCUGCUUUUGUGGGGUGCUCGAGUGGCGAACGGGUGAGUAACACGUGAGUAACCUGCCCUUGACUUUGGGAUAACUUCAGGAAACUGGGGCUAAUACCGGAUAGGAGCUCCUGCUGCAUGGUGGGGGUUGGAAAGUUUCGGCGGUUGGGGAUGGACUCGCGGCUUAUCAGCUUGUUGGUGGGGUAGUGGCUUACCAAGGCUUUGACGGGUAGCCGGCCUGGGAGGGUGACCGGCCACAUGGGGCCUGAGAGAGGGCCCAGUCUCCUACGGUAGGCAGCAGUGGGGAAUAUUGCACAAUGGGCGGAAGCCUGAUGCAGCAACGCCGCGUGCGGGAUGACGGCCUUCGGGUUGUAAACCGCUUUCGCCUGUGACGAAGCGUGAGUGACGGUAAUGGGUAAAGAAGCACCGGCUAACUACGUG
rnacentral:rRNA from 1 species